UGAAACCUAAAAGACCACACAAAAUGAGAAAAACUAAUAAGUACAUUAUUCUUGAUUUCAUCCAUAACACAGUACUAAAUCCAUUUGUUGGAAUACAAUAUUUUGUCACUUUUCCAUAAAGCUUUCAUGAUAAAACUUUUUGCUUCAUAUACUUUUUUCAAUGCCUAGAAAAAGUUAUUCUCACCUUUCCAUGAAGAAAAAUCACUCACCAAUUUUUCCUUGAGGAAGAUGGUAAACUUUUCCCCAAUAAAUAUAUAGACAACAUUUUGUAAGAAUCAACUCUGCAGCUUUUGGUGAGCAUAUUGAUAUAGUUAACCUAUCAAUAUGCUUUUCUUCACAGAAGGUUUUAAAAGUGUAAUGGCAGGAAGAAAUUCAGACAUUAUAUGUCAGGUAAUGGAAAGUGAAGGUCUCCCCCCAAAAUAUUUAUCUGAAAAAGGAUAUACAGUGUUCUUAAGUAGAAAUGGUGACGGAGUUUAGCAGAUUAUUCAUUACCAGGCAGAUCAACAACGAGAGAAUGGCUUCUUGGGCCCUCCAUCCAACCCGAAGAAGAUCGAUUUUCAGUUGCAUAUUGGAGCUCCGUCGCCGGAAUAUUGCAUGAUAUAUAUAUAUAGGAGUAUUGUUGGGAGAUGAUUUUCAGGUAAUAGGAACUAAACACCCUAACCCUUCGGGCCGUAGGCCGGGGCAUUAUUACAUAUCAUUUAUUUGGAUUUUUACAUAGCAUUUUUAUUGAUCUGUGCUUUGAACGAAAUAAUGUAGCUGCUUUCAGGUAUAAUAUGAGAUGAAAGGCAGAUAGUAUAUGUAAGAAAUAGAUUCAGGGUCGAGGGCCUGCUCAGUUUCCACUAGUACUUGAUUCCAACUUACGUACUGUUACCAAUACCCCUAGUGAAAAUGCCAAGAUGGCUGUCAUAACAAUUCCCUUAUUUCUUUGAAGCAUCUCCACAACAUUUUCCGAAUUUGUAUUCUUCAAAUCCUUUGUGAUCUGAUCUUGAUCACAGAACCAUACAUUUCUCUUUUCGUCUACCACUUGCUUUGGGACAGUGACAGAGAGAAUCCCACCACUGAAUUUUCCAGUGGUCUUAUCGAUGUCCGCAUUUUUUGGCACUUCAAAGGUUUUCUCAACAUGAACAGUUUUUUCUUCAUGAACUUUCCUUUCUCCACUGAGCACCAAGUCACCAGAGCAAGUAACCUGAAGCUUAAGCUCAUCCUUCUUGAAACCUAAAAGACCACACAAAAUGAGAAAAACGAAGUACAUUAUUCUUGAUUUCAUCCAUAACACAUUACUAAAUCCCCACUGGUUGGAAUACAAUAUUUUGCCACUCUUCCAUAAAGUUCCAUGAUAAAAUUUUCGUGCUUCAUAUACUUUUUCAAUGCCUAGAAAAAGUUAUUCCCACCUUUCCAUGAGGAAAAAUCUCUCGCCAAUUUUUCUUUGAGGAAGAUGCAAAACUUUUCCGCAAUAAAUAAAUAGACAACAUUUUGUAAGAAUCAACUAUGCAGCUUUUGGUGAGCAUAUUGAUAUAGUUAACCUAUCAAUAUGCUUUUCUUCACAGAAGGUUUUGAAAGUGUAAUGGCAGGAAGAAAUUAAGACAUUAUAUGUCAGGUAAUGGAAAUGAAGGUCUUCCCCAAAAAUAUUCACAUGAAGCACUUUUAUCUGAAAACGAAUAUACAGUGUUAUUUUUAAGAUCAUGGUGACAGAGUUUAGCAGAUUCAUUACCAGGCAGAUCAACAGCGAGAGAAUGGCUUCUUGGGCCCUCCAUCCAACACGAAGAAGGUACAAAUUCCUCAACUACUGGGUGUGAGCAUCUUCUCCCUCCACACGGCCUUGUAUCUCUAACAUUUGCCAUAGAUGAAAAGCUGAACUUUGUUAAAGAUGAUGAAUGUUGAUGAGGUGAUGCUUUGUAAUGUAAUUAGUUGCAGUCUUAUUUAUUUGAAAAUGAUGAGCUAA